rnacentral:lncRNA from 1 species
GCCACACCCGUUGCUGACAGGUGUAUAAAAUCGAACACAGCCAUGCAAUCUCCAUAGCUGAACAUUGGCAGUAGAAUGGCAUUACUUUAGAACUCAGUGACUUUCAACAUGGCACCAUCAUAGGAUGCCACCUGGUACUCCCUGUAUAUAGCUCCAUUCUUGUGUAUUUUAUUCCUUGUGUUACUAUUUUAUUUGUAAUCUCUGCAUCGUUGGGGAAGGGCCCGUAAACAAGCAUUUCACAGUAAAGUCUACACCAGUUGUGUUCAGCUCAUGUGACAAAUAAAAAUAAUACCCAUAAAGCCUAGCGGUCAAACAAAAAUGGUUCCAAUCGGGGUUUUUUAACAUUCAUUUUAGAACCACUUCAAGAAAGGUUGUGCCACUAUUCAGGUCUUCAGACAUGGGAGGGCUUCAAAUGGGAAUAACAUGAUCCCUUUCAAGCAUGCGGACUGAAAGAAUUGCAUCAACUCUUAAGGAAAGCAUGCUCCAUCAACUCCAUUGAAGGUGAUUCAACUCUAUUCAAUGUGUUUGAAGACUAAGCAUGGAACUGCUGGGACUGGCUUGAUGGUUAAAUGGAAAAGGUAUUGAAGGAAAGAACACAAUUUGGUGGACUGCUUGCAUUUCAGCAAAAAAAUAUCCAGGUAAACGCCAUUGAAGAUGACACUGAAUUAUUAUAACUAUAAAAAAACAUGUACUGUGCACAGCUUUAUCGCUUUACUGUUUACUUUUAAACUGAGAUUACUUGCCCAUCCACAAUGCCUUACUGUAUACAUUGUAUUUAAAGGUAAUAUACUAUUACAUCUACAUUGAUUUUUGAAGCCAUAGGGCUAUCGUGAAAAUGCACUGUGCAGUGAUGAGAGCUUUAAAGCUUUAACCCAGCUUUCUUACUGUUGGUGAAGACAUUAUGUUCUAACUCUGAGCACAUUUUGUAAAUGCUGUUAUGGCCUCUAAAUUGUAUUUGUGUACUAUAUGGACUAAGAUUAUUCCUAACCUGUCUUUUCAUUUCAGGAAUACAUGCUGAUUGUUUGACAUUCAAUGGAGUUGAAGCAUAGAAGGUUGACCAAACAUGGUGCUGCUUGGACUGGAUUGCUGUUUCAUUGAGUCGAUGCAAGACGAUGCAGAUUGUAUGGAAUGCGACAACUCCAUUGAAGGAUGCCACAGGAUUGUUUCUUUCUGGACUUGGGUGGUGUACAGAAUGUUACAUCCUGCAGAUGAUUCACUAAACUCCAGGCCAGACUGUUUGUCUCAGCCACCAUCAGCUGUGUUCACAUGGCCCUUUGACACAUCCUGGAGUGUCAUUGCAUAAUCCUCUUGUCUUGCAAUGUCUGGUUUCUGAACAAAUGUACCACAUAAUGAAUUGUUGAAUGUUUUGCCUUGACUAUGGUCCCGACUGCAUAAACAUGGGGACCUUCUCAAUCAGUGAACAAUAAAAUUGAACUUUGUAAAUUUAUUUUGUCAUUAAUUAUAAUAGAUUUUAGCUAAUAGCAUUGAAAUAAUGUUAACUGGAAACCACUCUGACUGGUUAGUGUAGAACUGUAGUUUUUACAUUGAUGACAGUUUGUUAUAUAACCAAACCAGGGCCAUGUUGAGUAACUGACUUGCAGAUAAUUUUAAUGUGUGAUGCUGGUG